rnacentral:misc_RNA from 1 species
ACCCAUAUAAAUAUCGAGAGGGGUGCGAAAAUUAGUGUGCAUGCGUCGCGUAGUUCGCCAAACAGUGUGUGAGUCAUACACAGCCGCAGUGCUGCGCCUCCCGCCCGCAUGGACGGACACGACGUCGCCUGCUGCCGCUACCUGCGGCGCUGCGCGUGCGGGCGCUGCGCGCACCCGGGCGGCGCGCUGUGGCGCGUGGCGCUGGCCGAGGCGCUGGGCGCGGCGCUGCUGCUGCUGCUGACGUGCUGCGCCGUGACCGCGCAGUCGGCGGCGGCGCGCGCGCUGGGCUCGGGGCUGGUGGUGGCGCUGCUGGUGCAGUGCCUGGAGCGCGCGUCGGGCGCGCAGCUCAACCCCGCCGUGACGCUGGCGGCGCUGCUGUGGGGGCGCAUGUCGCGGCGGCGCGCGGCGGCCGAGGCGCUGGCGCAGCUGGCGGGCGCGGCGGCGGGCGCGGGCGCGGCGCGGGCGCUGCUGGGCGACGCGGCACGGUGCGACACUCGCGCCACGCUGCCCCCGCUGCCCGCCGCGCUGCUGGAGGCGGUGCUGGCGGGCUGCCUGGCGCUCGCCAACUGCGCCGCCUGGGACGCGCGCAACGCGGACUUGCGAGACUCCUGGCCGCUGCGCAUCGGACUGUGCGUGGCCGGCCUGUCGCUCGCCGCGGGCGAGCUUACGGGUGCCAGCAUGAACCCGGCGCGCAGCUUCGGACCGGCGCUAUGGAGCGGCGACUGGGCCGGCCACUGGGUGUACUGGGUGGGCCCGCUCAGCGGCUCGGCGCUUUUCACCACCGCCUACAUGUGCGCGUGGAAGCCGCGCUGUGACGUCACGCCGCGCUGCGCCUGCGACGAUGCCUCGCGCCGCAGCUCGCGUCACGUCACCGCCGCGCCGCCGCUGCCCGACAAGCCGUGUGCCGAGCCCUAGCGAGCCGUGCCGCCUCGCGUCACGUCACCGCCGCGCCGCCGCUGCCCGACAAGCCGUGUGCCGAGCCCUAGCGAGCCGUGCCGCGUCACGUCACGUCACGCCGCGCUGCGCCUGCGACGAUGCCUCGCGCCGCAGCUCGCGUCACGUCACCGCCGCGCUUAUGUUUGUAUAUGUAUAAACUGUAGUUCUAUGUAUAGGAAGCUACUAUGAGAGGCCAUAAAAUGUUGGUAAUCAUUACAAAGGUUUUUGUUUAUCUCUAAGAAUAUUUUCUGUUAAACUAUAAAAAAAUAAGAAAAAACAAGGUUUUAUCGUUCGA